rnacentral:rRNA from 1 species
GACGAACGCUGGCGGCGUGCUUAACACAUGCAAGUCGAACGGAAAGGCCCUGCUUUUGUGGGGUGCUCGAGUGGCGAACGGGUAAGUAACACGUGAGUAACCUGCCCUUGACUUUGGGAUAACUUCAGGAAACUGGGGCUAAUACCGGAUAGGAGCUCCUGCUGCAUGGUGUUGGUUGGAAAGUUUCGGCGGUUGGGGAUGGACUCGCGGCUUAUCAGCUUGUUGGGGGGGUAGUGGCUUACCAAGGCUUUGACGGGUAGCCGGCCUGAGAGGGUGAACGGCCACAUUGGGACUGAGAUACGGCCCAGACUCCUACGGGAGGCAGCAGUGGGGAAUAUUGCACAGUGGGCGGAAGCCUGAUGCAGCAACGCCGCGUGCGGGAUGACGGCCUUUGGGUUGUAAACCGCUUUCGCAUGUGACGAAGCGUGAGUGACGGUAAUGGGUAAAGAAGCACCGGCUAACUACGUG